GUGAUAGUCAGCACCCAACAUGGACAUGAGGACCCCUGCUCAGCUCCUGGGGCUCCUGCUGCUCUGGCUCCCAGGUGCCAGAUGUGACAUCCAGAUGACCCAGUCUCCAGCCUCCCUCUCUGCAUCUCCAGGAGAUAGGGUAACCAUGACUUGCAGAGCCAGCCAGGGCAUUGGCAACUGGUUAGCCUGGUAUCAGCAGAAACCAGGACAAGCUCCCAAGCUCCUGAUCUAUUAUGCAACUAGUUUGCAAUCUGGGGUUCCAUCGAGGUUCAGUGGCAGUGGAUCUGGGACAGAGUUCACUCUCACCAUCAGCAGCCUGCAGCCUGAAGAUGGUGCCACUUAUUACUGUAUGCAGAAUGAUAAGUAUCCUCCACAGUGAUACAAGUCAUAAC